rnacentral:rRNA from 1 species
GACGAACGCUGGCGGCACGCCUAAUACAUGCAAGUCGAGCGAACAGAUGAAGUGCUUGCACUUCUGACGUUAGCGGCGAACGGGUGAGUAACACGUAAGGAAUCUACCUAUAAGCGGGGGAUAACAUCCGGAAACGGGUGGUAAUACCGCAUAAUAUCUUCUUCCGCAUGGAAGAAGAUUGAAAGACUGCUCGGCUGUCACUUAUAGAUGAACUUGCGGUGCAUUAGUUAGUUGGUGGGGUAACGGCCGACCAAGACGAUGGUGCAUAGCCGACCUGAGAGGGUGAUCGGCCACAUUGGGACUGAGACACGGCCCAAACUCCUACGGGAGGCAGCAGUAGGGAAUCUUCCGCAAUGGGCGAAAGCCUGACGGAGCAAUGCCGCGUGAGUGAAGAAGGCCUUCGGGUCGUAAAACUCUGUUAUAAGAGAAGAACAAAUUGUAGAGUAACUGCUACAGUCUUGACGGUAUCUUAUCAGAAAGCCACGGCUAACUACGUGCCAGCAGCCGCAGUAA